rnacentral:rRNA from 1 species
UGGGCAAUCUGCCCUAAAGACUGGGAUACCACUUGGAAACAGGUGCUAAUACCGGAUAACAACAUGAAUCNCAUGAUUCAAGUUUGAAAGGCGGCGCAAGCUGUCACUUUAGGGUGAGCCCGCGGCGCAUUAGCUAGUUGGUGGGGUAAAGGCCUACCAAGGCAAUGAUGCGUAGCCGAGUUGAGAGACUGAUCGGCCACAUUGGGACUGAGACACGGCCCAAACUCCUACGGGAGGCAGCAGGCC